rnacentral:rRNA from 1 species
UACGUAGGGUGCGAGCGUUAAUCGGAAUUACUGGGCGUAAAGCGUGCGCAGGCGGCGCGUUAAGACAGGUGUGAAAGCCCCGAGCUUAACUUGGGAAUUGCGCUUGUGACUGGCGUGCUGGAGUGUGGCAGAGGGAGGUGGAAUUCCACGUGUAGCAGUGAAAUGCGUAGAGAUGUGGAGGAACACCGGUGGCGAAGGCGGCGACCUGGGUCGAGACUGACGCUGAUGCGCGAAAGCGUGGGGAGCAAACAGG